CCUACGGGAGGCAGCAGUGGGGAAUAUUGCGCAAUGGGCGAAAGCCUGACGCAGCGACGCCGCGUGAGGGAUGAGGGCCUUCGGGUUGUAAACCUCUUUCAGCAGGGACGAAAACAGACGGUACCUGCAGAAGAAGCACCGGCCAACUACGUGCCAGCAGCCGCGGUAAUACGUAGGGUGCAAGCGUUGUCCGGAAUUAUUGGGCGUAAAGAGCUCGUAGGCGGUUUGUCGCGUCGGCUGUGAAAACUCGGGGCUCAACCCCGAGCCUGCAGUCGAUACGGGCAGACUAGAGUGCUGUAGGGGAGACUGGAAUUCCUGGUGUAGCGGUGAAAUGCGCAGAUAUCAGGAGGAACACCGGUGGCGAAGGCGGGUCUCUGGGCAGUAACUGACGCUGAGGAGCGAAAGCGUGGGGAGCAAACAGGAUUAGAUACCCUGGUAGUCCACGCCGUAAACGGUGGGUGCUAGGUGUGAGCGUAGUCACGCGUCGUGCGCNGCUACGCAUAGUACACCCGCCGUCGGGUAGGUACGGCCGCGACGACGUAAACCUACAANAGAAGUUAGACGGCGUGAGACGUGCCGACGGACGACGACGAGGGAGGUAGG
rnacentral:rRNA from 1 species